CCAGUCCAGAAAGAGGGCUCUUAGCAGACACCAAACCAGCGAGCACCUUGGUCUUGGAGUUCUCUCUGUCCAUAACUGUGUUUAGUAAAUUUCUGUUAUUUAUGAGCCACCAGUCUAUAUUUGAUAUAACAGCACAAACAGACUAAGACAUCAUCCUUUACUUAUUUUUGGAGUUUAUAGAGUGGUAAUAUUUUUCCUGGUGGUUAGGCUUGUAGGAAUCAAGCUUGGAUUAUGAAAGAGAGGAGAAAAAGGUAAUGGAACAGUAAGAGGAAACAAUAGCUGUCUAGGAACCAGAAAUUUACUUGGUGGAAACCUCCAGUUUUUCAAAUCAUUAGGUUCCAAUGAUGAAACAAUUUCACUGGGAUAAGCAUACAUCGAGGCUGUCAGAGAAAGAAGAGAUACCAGGGAGAUUUGUAUAAUUGCACAGAUCUGAUGUCUACAUUCUUAAGUUUCACAGGUUGAGACCUAAUGCCCAAUGCAACACGGUGAAGAGGUGAAGCUUCAGGGAGUUGACUAGGUCAUAAGAGCUCCAUCACAAGUGGGAUGAGUGUUCUUAUUAAAGAGUCCUGUGGAAGCUUGCUCAGGUCUUUUGCCAAGUGACAAUGCCAUAAGAAGUCACCAUCUUGAAAACAAAGAGCAACCACUGGCAGACACCAAGUCUGCUGGUGCCUUGAUUGUAGACUUCAUAACCUUUAGUCUGUGAGGAGUAAAUUGUUUACUAACUACA